rnacentral:lncRNA from 1 species
GGUUGGGAGGGAGGGAAGAGGAAGCUGAGCGUUCAUGGGGUGGAGGACCAGUCUCUAAGGGUAUCCGCGGUCAUUUUCAUUUCCCCGCAGUAAUCCAGCUGUGCGGGAGCGAGGAGCGGACAGGGAGCGGUUUGCGAGGUCUCGGUGCUUGGACCUUUGCGCGCCCUUCGCCUACACCCACCACAACUCCCUCUUCUAGCGCUUCCUAGAGUCGGGGGAAGGGCGGGGGCUGCUUGGCCAGGUGGAGGGAACGCAAGGGACGCCUGUUGGGGUGAGGUCCUGGUCCCCCACAGCCAGACCUGGGCCUCGGGGCCACCCUGUUCUUCAGAGGGGACCUCCCUUACGACUUGGACCCGACUCCAGAGUGCAAUUAAGGGGCCGGCAAGUUGGGUAGCAGGCUGAGAGUGUCUAAAGGACACUAAAAUAUCUUUGGAAUAAUUCAGGUAUUUGGUGCCAGUGUACUAUGAUUUCUGUGUCUUGGUGAAAUAUGAGUUGGCU